ensembl:lncRNA
GCUGGACACAGACCACACCCAGCAGUCCCUUUGCCUGUCCCCAAAUUGUGGAAAUUUUUUCCUUCUGUUUUUUGGUACUGGGGAUCGAACUCGGGUCCUUGCGCUUGCACAGCAGGUGGCGAAACCACUGAGCUAAAUCCCCAGCCCUGGAAAUUUUUUCUUAAUAGGUGAGCUAAACCAAAUUAAACAGGUUUCUUUCCUGGCAGAUAUCUUUGGUUAACAUGUUAAUGUGUACGUAAGGGGUGUGUUAAACAACCUGGUUUCAUAACAUACCCGAAAUUCAACUUUUCUUUUUUGUUUCCUACAGGCCUCAUAAAGCUUAUAAGCAAAGAAAAUCUUCCCUUUCCAGGAAGCAAAGUCUGGUAGACAUAGGGAUUGUCAAGGGCCUGCAUCCUGGUUUCCUCCUUGUCACCUGACAGAGAGGCUGGAGGCUGGUCCUGCUGCCUGAAGAUCCCAAUCUCAAGAUGCCCCCCUUCCCACCCCCAUGGUCAGUUCUGUGCACACAUCUCUCACAGCAGAGAACAGGGAAGGGCCAGCAGGGGUAGGGGCUGCUUUUGUUCACCAAGCCCCAUUUCAUCCAGAAUGCCAAUGCAUAUGGAGCUCCAGAGUUCUGGAACUAGGCGAACAUACAAGUGGAGGCUUCAGCUAGCCUCAGAUGGAAGAUGGAGGCAGGAAGGACAUCAGAGCCCAGGAGGGCAACUGGAGCCACAGGCUGCCUCUCUCCCAGCAGCUCUACGAAGUUCUGGCUGAAAAGUUAUCCCAGACAACUACAUGUGAUGUGGAAGAACACGAACACUGGUAUCCACUGUGGGCACCUUACAUUCUUUAUGCCACCUAAUAUGGCCAAGAGACAGACAUGUAUGUGUACCCACGGAGGGAACAGAUUCAAGAGGCCAAGGGACUUACCCUAGGCCAGCACACCUGCAGCUGGAGUUCAAGUGCACAUUUCCCCUCUCAGGCUUUGGCUCUACCUUUUGCAAAUAAAGGCUGGCCACCCAUGUGAGCCAACUAAAAUAACCUUCCCUCCCCAGACCAGGUAUUUAAGAAAAUUCCAAUCACAGGAAAGCGACUAGGUUGUUCCCCAGCAAUUCACAUGACAAGGGACAUGUGCAUUCCUUAAAUUUCCUGAGAGGUUGUUUCCCACAAGCUGUUUUGAAGUCACUGGGGAGGACUUGGCCAUCAGAAGGUUGGAGCUUGGUGUGGCCUGGGUACAGACGAGGAGCACCUCACUAGGGAAGGUCAAGAUGUGGGCCACCAUAAGUCAGAAGUCUGCACCACCAGACUGUCUUACGCAGCUAGGACAUUUAAACACGGAACAUACAUAGGAAAAGGCAGAAUCAGGAUGUCAUCAGAUGCUGGGUCCUGAACACAGAGACCUUGCAUAGUCCCUUAUUUCACCUCUAUUCACUGGCCUCUUAAUUUUCUCUUCCUUUUGGCCAAUCUUUUGCUAAAUGACAAUGUCAGAUUUAUCUGAGCUUUUACAUACAUUGCAGAGAUGUAUCAUAUUCCCUUUGGAGGUUUUGUUUCGUUUUGGGACAGUGUCUUGCUAUGUAGUUCAGGCUAGCCCUGAACUCACCAUGUAGCCCAGGCUGGCUUCAAACUCACAACACUCCUCCUGCCUCAGCCUCCUGAGUGCUGGGAUUACAGGAUACCACACCCGCCUUUGGAGGGUUUAAAAAAUUUUUUUUUGUCUUCAGGGCUAUGCUCUUGUUUGAAAUGCGCUACAUAACCCACAGGACCCAUCCAGGACACAUGAGGGUCCUCACUGGGUGCAGAUGGUAAUGUGCUUUUCUGGGUUUCAGAUAUCUGGUUUACCAGGUAGGG